rnacentral:rRNA from 1 species
AACGAACGCUGGCGGCAUGCCUAACACAUGCAAGUCGAACGAAGUCUUCGGACUUAGUGGCGCACGGGUGCGUAACGCGUGGGAAUCUGCCCUUGGGUGCGGAAUAACUUCUCGAAAGGGAUGCUAAUACCGCAUAAUGUCGUAAGACCAAAGAUUUAUCGCCCAAGGAUGAGCCCGCGUAAGAUUAGCUAGUUGGUGGGGUAAAAGCCUACCAAGGCGACGAUCUUUAGCUGGUCUGAGAGGAUGAUCAGCCACACUGGGACUGAGACACGGCCCAGACUCCUACGGGAGGCAGCAGUGGGGAAUAUUGGACAAUGGGCGAAAGCCUGAUCCAGCAGUGCCGCGUGAGUGAAGAAGGCCUCGGUUGUAAGACUCUUUUGUUCUAGGGAAGGAAACGGUAGGAGUUCUAAUACAGCUUG